rnacentral:rRNA from 1 species
UACAGAGGGGGCAAGCGUUGUUCGGAAUUACUGGGCGUAAAGGGCGCGUAGGCGGCCCGCUAAGUCGAACGUGAAAUCCCCGGGCUCAACCCGGGAACUGCGUCCGAUACUGGUGGGCUCGAAUCCGGGAGAGGGAUGCGGAAUUCCAGGUGUAGCGGUGAAAUGCGUAGAUAUUGGGAGGAACACCAGUGGCGAAGGCGGCUCACUGGACCGGAACUGACGCUGAGGCGCGAAAGCGUGGGGAGCAAACAGG